UUUCUUUCUUGUAGUGGGUUC
rnacentral:piRNA from 1 species